rnacentral:tRNA from 1 species
GCCCCUGUAGCUCAGUGGAUAGAGCAUCCGCCUUCUAAGCGGCAGGCCGAGGGUUCGAGUCCCCCCAGGGGCGCCA